GACGAACGCUGGCGGCGUGCCUAACACAUGCAAGUCGAACGGAACUGUUUUGGAGCUUGCUUUGAAACAGUUUAGUGGCGGACGGGUGAGUAACGCGUGAGGAACCUGCCUUUCAGAGGGGGAUAACGCCUGGAAACGGACGCUAAUACCGCAUGAUAUCUCGAGGCCGCAUGGUCAUGAGAUCAAAGGAGCAAUCCGCUGAAAGAUGGACUCGCGUCCGAUUAGCCAGUUGGCGGGGUAAUGGCCCACCAAAGCCGCGAUCGGUAGCCGGACUGAGAGGUUGAACGGCCACAUUGGGACUGAGACACGGCCCAGACUCCUACGGGAGGCAGCAGUGGGGGAUAUUGCACAAUGGAGGAAACUCUGAUGCAGCAACGCCGCGUGAGGGAAGAAGGUCUUCGGAUUGUAAACCUUUGUCCUCGGUGACGAUAAUGACGGUAGCCGAGGAGGAAGCUCCGGCUAACUACGUG
rnacentral:rRNA from 1 species